CGGCCUACAAGCAAGCAAGCACCAGUUCGUUUUUCCUCAAAGGGAAGUAAAGCGUCCGUGUGACCCAUCCUAAUGACCAUCAACGAACUGCCGGUCUUCUUGCAAUGGAGGCACAUUAUGGAAACAGUUCAAUGGAUUCUAUGGCUGCUCCUGGUGUUUCCAGAAGGGUCCCCUUGUCGAAGGUAUUGUAAAGAACCCCUUCAAGAAGGAUGGAAUGCUUGAGCACACUCAUAAGACUGUGCUGCAACCAAUGAAAGCUGCAGUCCGCCAAAGCAAGAGUGCAGUUGUUUAUUGCACAAAAGGACUGUCUCCGGUUGCGGUGCUGCGUGCCUUGGACAUGGUGUGGGGUGUGUCACCCGAUUAUAUGCAUUGUGUGUUAGAGGGCGUUGUGCCGCAGAUGAUGGAGCUAUGGUUGUCAGCAAAAGGCACUGCUUGGUACAUCGGCAGCAGCGUCCGCGACCUAGACAGCUGGUAGCCUGCUCAUCAGCUCUCAUCUGUCAUUUAGAAGGCUCCCUAAGAGUGUCAGUGAGCGGUCCGUCUGGAAAGCAACCCAGUGGAAAUAUUGCUGUUGUGUUACGCCCUUCCCUGCCUUUAGGGCAUUCUUCCUUGGAGUUUGUGUGACACCCGGGGUUGCUUUCCGAAUCAGUGUUCUUGCGUCUUCAGAGAACAGUGCAAGUAGCUCAUGUCACUUCCUGACAUGAGCAACUUGCACAAACUGCUCGAGCAGUUUGUGGCUGACUUGGUUGCUCUUUAUGGUAAAACUACAGGAACCUUUACUGUCCACCAGCUGUUGCACCUGUCAAGAAGUGUAGAAAUGUUAGGCCCAUGAUGGGCAACGUCAAACUUCGUUUUCGAAGAGGGAAAUGGCACAGUGCUGAGGUUGAAUUCUGCUGCGAAAGGGGUGCCUCUGCAGGUAGCAGACAGGUUGGUAAUGGAGGCAAGCCUUAAUUCCGGUUCACGACUUGUCAGAAUGCCAGGUCACCUAAAGAAAAGAUGGGAUGAGCUUUCGGCAAGAAAGCUAGGGGUAUUCUACAUGUGUACUUGGUAGUCCAGUACCCAGAGUGGCUCAUCUUCCAUUUCACAUUCAGGACAUGUUUGUCCAUUUACUGGUAUCUUGACCAACCUCGACAGAGUAGUUAAGAGCUCGCGUAAACAAUGUUGUCAUACACAGCUCGAAGUAUAAGCGACCCGAGAAGACCUGCUCAAAGUAUGUAAAAAUGCGUGAUGGGACAUACUGCGAAGUGAAGCACAUUUUUCCUUUUGAUGGUCCUUCUAUUACAUUCGUUUGCCGAGAGCUCACAACAUCAGACGGUAGGUUUGAAACAGCUCAUUAGCGAAUUUCCCGCCAUCCUCCCCUAAAUUAACAACUCUGUUUGUUUUUGAACACGAUUUUUCUUCUCAGUGUGCAUUUAUUGAACAGUGCCUUGAGUCAUACAUUUCAGACGUGCCCAAUUGUUAUGAAAACAAUUAAGUGCCAAGAAUCUCAGGUCUCACAUGUCCCGAUGUGUUACUUUCCGAGUGCUUCUCCCUGGCCAGGUCGACCCCAGAAAGUAUGCAGCGAUGACUGGCUACUGCCACCUGGAUGGCCAUCUCUCACUUCAGGUUGUAUUCCUUAAGGCUUAAAAGAUAGGCUAACCACCUAUCUUAAAGGGCAUUGUGAGCCUAAAAGUGAUGCCUAGUGUCACAUUGGAAAGCUUGUAAGAAACGGAUUUCAUGACAAAAUUAACUUGUAUGUAACUCUUUCAUAUCAAUUGAAAUUUUUUCUGGUAAAUUUGGGGGAUCUCACAAGAUCGGUAUUUUUGUCUGGAAAUCAUUGUCACGUGAAUUUUGUAGUAUGCUUAAUAUAAAGUAAAGAACAAUAAAAGCAUUGGUGUUAUAAAAAUUUAGAGUACUGCAGGUGUGGGUACGAUAUACAGAUAUCGUCACAUGAUCCCAGUUGCGUUAUGAUACUUGUUUACCACUCUGUUUUUUACGCUCAUUAUAGCUAUUGCUUCUUAGUAUGGGGAACUACGACUGACAAAUAUCCAACAAAUGCAUAUUCUCCAAAAAAGAUUGAUCCCUAUAAUAUGCAACACAUACGCCUAUGAUAGCCAUACGAAACCAUGGUUCGAAAAAUUCAAUAUUGUGAAAGUUAACAACUACCAUACAAAAAGUCCUUAUGUCAUAACCAUUCAUUCCUAUCCGUCCCUGACCUUGAGUUCAGGAAAAAGACUAACUAUACUCAUCGGACAGAUAUAUGGUCAGUACCACUCUCCAGGACCAGUUACGGCAACCAAAUGUUGAGAUGUACACUACCGCGCCUUUGAAAUUGUUGUAGUAAAUUGAACAUAAACAUUUUUAUUAGGACUCGAAAAGAAGUGUGUGCUUUUUUUACGCGCUUUCAUAAGUAUUUCUCUGCAUAGCUAGAGGAUGAGGUGUGUGUACGGUUUAGAUUAUUUUCUCUUUGCUAUCUUUGAUACCUAUAUUGUUUGUUGCUAAUUAUGUUAAUAAUGUUAUAGAUAUUAUGUAUGUGGGCUUUUCUCUAUGCUGCUGUAUGGGGGCAGAGGCUUGUCACGCAACACUGAGUUUUUUUUUCUCUGCCUCCCCUGUCCAA
rnacentral:misc_RNA from 1 species